ACCGCCUGAGGGGGGGACGCACAAACGGUUGGGUGUGAGCAGUGCCCGACGGAGCGCCCGAUAGGAAUAUACGCAUCCGGCGUCUGCUCUGCCUAACCUCCAGCUCGUCUUCCCAUCUCACAUCCAGCACAGGCCGGGCGUUCCGGUGGCAGUAUUCACACUUUCCUGGAUACUCGAAUGGAGCCUGAGAACACAGUGUUAAAAGAUACAUGUUUUUCUUAACAUGUCUCUUAAUUGAGGUCUCUAAAUUGCCCAUAAGUGUGAAUGUGAGUGUGAAUGGUUGUUUGUUUUUAUGUGCCCUGCGAUUGGCUGGCGACCAGUUCAGGGUGUAUCCCGCUACUCGCCCGAAGAUAGCUGGGAUAGGCUCCAGCACGCCCGCGACCUUAGUGAGGAUAAGCGGUACGGAAAAUGAAUGAAUGUCUGUAAUUCACUUUCAUCAAAAUAAACAGAGGAAUUAUAUAACCAUUACAAAAUCAAGUCUCCAGCAAACACUGGCUGUGUUGGAAAUCAAUCCCGAUCAACGAAACACUAUGGUUCGCAGGUAAACUGGAGCCUAUCACAGCUGACAGAAAGACGGACUACGCCCUGGAUUGGUCACCAGUCAAUCACGGGGGAUUUUUUAAAUCCAUUUAUCUGUUUUCUUAUCCACGGCUGUGGUGUCCUUGAGCAAGACACUGAUACCCCGAAAUGCUCCCCGGGCGCUUCAGCUGCCCCCUGCUCCAGUGUGUUCCACUAACAUGUGUAUGUGUUCACUGUGAUGGGUUAAAUGCAGAGAACAAAUUUCGUGUGCAUGCAUGCAUGUUCAUGACAAUAAAAGAUGAUUCUUCUUCUU